CUUCACCGAUCCGAGCAGCAGCGGCCGGUCCGCCGGGUGCGCCUGCCCGUAGGUCGCCAGCAGGGCCUGGGCCUC
rnacentral:antisense_RNA from 1 species